GCUAACUUAGAUUGGCUGAAAGUGGUUGCCUGAGUGCUGUGUUAAGAAGGAUUCCGAGGCCAUGUCUGGGCUCAAGGAGAAAAUAUUGCAAUGGAUCAACUGUAGCUGCCAAGAUUUCCUCGGGGAACCUCAACAGCCCUUCCCUUCUGUCAUGAAGAGCAAUCCAGUUCUUUCCCAGCUCCUACCUCCCAGUUCAUCCUGAGACUCCUGGACGAGAGCCGGGCCGCACUUCUUGAGCGGCUGCUGCGUGCCUGGCGUGGUAGUGGAGACAGUGAGAUGAACCAGAAGCCAUGCCCUCCCCACCCCAGGAACUCCUAGAUGUCUCGGGACGUGAAUAAGUAAACAGAGCGGGUU
rnacentral:lncRNA from 1 species